rnacentral:ncRNA from 1 species
UUUCUCAGGGCGGGGUGAAAGUCCCCACCGGCGGUGAUGCGGCGGCCAGCAGGCUUCCGCCAGCCCGCGAGCGCCCAGUGUUUGGGGUCAGCAGAUUCGGUGAGAAUCCGAAGCCGACGGUUAUAGUCCGGAUGGAAGAGAACG